AAGUCCAUAGAAAAGAGCCCAACUGACUCUUACUAAUGGCUUCACCGCAUCCCUUCUUUCACCUUCUCUUCCUAGCUGUCCAGAUGUGAGGGGUAUGCCGUCACUCACGGAGACUCACCUGACUGCUGAACUUAGUGAAAGAAGGCUUGGGGUCAUGCUCCUGUGAGCAGUAGUGACAUGUGAGGUGCGGUUCAGCUCUACUCAGAGGUUGUCCGGACGCUUGGACCUCACUGUAUGAUCAUGGUCUGAGCAGGAAGGGCAAGCCAGAGGAAGACCAUCCAGGAAAAGAAGGGAACAGCAGAGGAAUGUAUUCCUUGAUGGUGGCAUCUCUUUUGAAAUACCACACCACAUCCUACGAACGUGUUAGAAAGAAGAAACAACACUUCUACCAAGUAUUGCUGGACCUCAACUCUGGAAUGUAGAAAUAUCAGUCUGAAAGCCAUCUUGAGCUCUACAGUACCCAAUGAAGUUAGAUCAUUGCCUUCAAGAGGACUUAUGUGUAAAACUCCUACAGGCUGUAGACAUGACUAUGGGUCCAUCCAUAAGCCUACAAAGUCACAACAGCACAUGCUGUGUGGUAUGCUACCCAGACCCCUUAAAGGACAAGGGCAUCCUCCCCAGCACUGGUGUUCUCCCAGGCUAGUCUCUCCUCUAGCCUGCCUGAAGGGAGUUUCCCAGCUCAUGUAAUGGCCUGGCUGAUUGAUGUGGGGUAUUCCAGCCUGUUCUCCCUGUUGAGCAGAGGACACUGAACAUCUUUAUCCAGCUCUGAGCUGCCCAGGGACCAAUUACAAAUAUACACAGCCCUGCCUCUCUGUGUCACUGGCUAUCCCUUAUAGGUGGUACCAAUUUCCUGUGCUAUUUUCUACAACAGAAGUCAUUUCUCAGGGAAAUUUAACCCCAAACAGUCAUGUAUCUUUCUUCCUUCAAAUUCCAGAGAAGGGCACAGUAGGGAAAAUACCUCAAGAUACAUGAACUGGCUAGGGUUUUCCAAACAGGACUCCAGUUGCUUGGGACAUAAUGCCAAUAACUGAAGCUAGAAGGCAGAGGCCCAGGAAAUGGCUAACAUAAUCAUCUAAAGAAACAGCUCACAGAACCUUUGCAAGCUACACAUCCAACAGAGGAGAAUUAGCUGGAAUAUGAAGAAGAAAAACCCCCAAACCAAAACCCAAAUAAACUUCAAGAAGCUAAACAAGGAUCAAAAAAGCCUACAAUAAAGGAGCCAGUGAAGCAAGCAGAGUCCUCAAAAGAUGAGGCGCAAAUUUCUAUUAGACACAUGAAAGGAUGGUCAGCCUCACUCUCCAUCAGAGGAAGGGAAAUUAAAGUUACAGUGAGAACCCAUCAGAGUGACAGUCAUUAAAAAAGCAAACACUAGUGACAACAGAUGCUGGUGCAGAAGGGGUGAAGGGGCUCUUAGACCACUGGUGGGAAUGGAAACCAUGCCCGCCUCUGUGGAGAUCAGUGUGCAAAUUCCUUCCACACCCAAACUAGGGGCUAGGAAGAUGGUGCAGGGUAAAAGGUGCGUAUUCAUUGUGUCUGUUCCAGACAUCCAUAUUCACCAGCUCACCACUGCCUGGAACUCCAGCUCCAGGGGAUCUGAUGCCCCCUUCUGGACUCUUCAGGUGCCUGCCUGCAUACACGAACACCUCACACAGACACAUAACUUUAAAAAGUGAUAAAAAUCUUCAAAAAAUUAAAAACACAUCUACCACAUGAGACAGCCAUACAAAACCCGGGUAUGUAUCCAAAAGAUCAGAACAGGCACUUCGCAGAGACACUUGCGUCUCGUUUACUAGAGCUUCAUGCACAGUCAUGAAGUUAUAGAACCAAUGUAGGUGUCUAACCUCAGGGGAAGAGAUAAGGAAAGUUGGUUUAUAUACGCAUCAGAAGUUAUAUCAGCCAUAGAGAUGGAUGAAGUUUUAUCAUUUAUAGGACAAUGAAUUCAACCAGACUUCAUUAUAAUAAAUGGAUUAAGC
rnacentral:lncRNA from 1 species